rnacentral:rRNA from 1 species
AUUGAACGCUGGCGGCAGGCCUAACACAUGCAAGUCGAGCGGAUGAAGGGAGCUUUCUCCUGGAUUCAGCUGCGGACGGGUGAGUAAUGCCUAGGAAUCUGCCUUGUAUUUGGGGAUAACGUCCGGAAACGGGCGCUAAUACCGCAUACGUCCUGAUGGUGAAAGUGGUGGAUCUUCGGACCUCACGCUAUCAGAUGAGCCUAGGUCGGAUUAGCUAGUUGGUGGGGUAAAGGCCUACCAAGGCGACGAUCCGUAACUGGUCUGAGAGGAUGAUCAGUCACACUGGAACUGAGACACGGUCCAGACUCCUACGGGAGGCAGCAGUGGGGAAUAUUGGACAAUGGGCGAAAGCCUGAUCCAGCCAUGCCGCGUGUGUGAAGAAGGUCUUCGGAUUGUAAAGCACUUUAAGUUGGGAGGAAGGGAAGUAAGUUAAUACCUUGAUGUUUUGACGUUACCAACAGAAUAAGCACCGGCUAACUUCGUG